rnacentral:rRNA from 1 species
GACGAACGCUGGCGGCGUGCUUAACACAUGCAAGUCGAACGGGAACCUUUAUUUCGGUAAAGGUGAGAGUGGCAAACGGGUGAGUAACACGUAGGCAACCUGCCGACAGGAUGGGGACAACAUUCCGAAAGGAAUGCUAAUACCGAAUGGAGUCCGGAGAUGGCAUCAUCUCCGGAUAAAAGAUGGCCUCUGAAUAUGCUAUCGCCUGUCGAUGGGCCUGCGUCUGAUUAGCCAGUUGGCGGGGUAACGGCCCACCAAAGCGACGAUCAGUAGCCGGUCUGAGAGGAUGAACGGCCACAUUGGGACUGAGACACGGCCCAGACUCCUACGGGAGGCAGCAGUGGGGAAUCUUCCACAAUGGGCGAAAGCCUGAUGGAGCAACGCCGCGUGAGUGAAGAAGGUCUUCGGAUCGUAAAGCUCUGUUGCACGGGACGAAAACCGAGCUCGAGAAUAUUGAGUUUGGGGACGGUACCGAG